UGGGGCCGGCCAGGCUGGGGCUCGGGAGCGGGGCCCCUGCGCCUCCCGCGGGGGGAAGCAUGCGUCUUCCUUCCGGAGGGAGCCGGAUAAACGAGUCACGUUUUACUACCACAUCAACGGAUCCGUCCAAAAAGAAUCCUUAGCAUUUGGUAGCAGCGCGGGCGUCCUAACGGCCGCUCAGCGAGCGCGGCGGAAGCGCGGUGGCGCCGUCGCCGUCGCUGCCACUCCCGGGCGCGGCGGCCUGGGACCAGCGGGAAAGCGUGGCGGGCCCUGAAGAUGGGCGGUUGAGCCGAGCCGCAGGGCCUAACUGCAGUUGCCGGGUCCGGGUGGUGGGCGCGCUGCGCUGUCCCAGUGGCCCUGCCCCCGUGGCCGGCAGGUGGGAGGACCGGCCCGCGAGCUGGGACCAGGUGAAGGAAGCAGUACCUUGAAGAGGAAGUGGAGGGAGAGUCAAUUCUUAGUGUAGCAGAGAGAUGGAGAGCAGCAAACAGGAUGCUUCACAGCGUCUUCAACAGGAGUAGAUGCCAUCUCGAGAAACCACUUUCUUUGCUCAUCCGCGAGAGGCAACUCCUCAUCUGUUCAAGGUUUAUCUUGAGAUUCCAGCAACUCGGUCGCAGCUUCAGGCUCCACUUCCGAUGUAGUUCUCUUGCUGUUUCUACCACACCUGCAGGUCCUUCUCCACCGAGGGCUUGAACUUCUCAAAGUCAUCAAAGAGAUUUGGAAUCACCAUCUUCCAAACUCCUGUUCACGCUGAUACUUCACCCCUUUCCCAUGAAUCACAGAUGUUCUUAAUGGCAUCUAAAAUGGUAAAUCCCUUCCAGAAGGUUUUCAAUUUACUUUGCCAAGAUCCAUCAGAAGAAUCACUGUCUAUGCUAGCUAAAGCCUCAUGAAAUGUAUUUCUUUUUUCUUUUACUUUUUUUAAUGUUUAUUCAUUUUUGAAAGACAGAGAGAGACAGAGCA